UGAGGAAUUUUGGUCAAUGGGCGCUAGCCUGAACCAGCCAAGUAGCGUGAAGGAUGAAGGCUCUAUGGGUCGUAAACUUCUUUUAUAUAAGAAUAAAGUGCAGUAUGUAUACUGUUUUGUAUGUAUUAUAUGAAUAAGGAUCGGCUAACUCCGUGCCAGCAGCCGCGGUAAUACGGAGGAUCCGAGCGUUAUCCGGUAUUAUUGGGUUUAAAGGGAGCGUAGGUGGACUGGUAAGUCAGUUGUGAAAGUUUGCGGCUCAACCGUAAAAUUGCAGUUGGUACUGUCAGUCUUGAGUACAGUAGAGGUGGGCGGAAUUCGGAGUGUAGCGGUGAAAAGCUUAGAUAUCACGAAGAAAUCCGAUUGCGAAGGCAGCUCACUGGACUGCAAAUGACACUGAUGCUCGAAAAUGUGGGUAUCAAACAGG
rnacentral:rRNA from 1 species